rnacentral:rRNA from 1 species
AGUGAACGCUGGCGGUAGGCCUAACACAUGCAAGUCGAACGGCAGCACAGUAAGAGCUUGCUCUUACGGGUGGCGAGUGGCGGACGGGUGAGGAAUACAUCGGAAUCUACUUUUUCGUGGGGGAUAACGUAGGGAAACUUACGCUAAUACCGCAUACGACCUACGGGUGAAAGCAGUGGAUCUUCGGACCUUGCGCGAUUGAAUGAGCCGAUGUCGGAUUAGCUAGUUGGCGGGGUAAAGGCCCACCAAGGCGACGAUCCGUAGCUGGUCUGAGAGGAUGAUCAGCCACACUGGAACUGAGACACGGUCCAGACUCCUACGGGAGGCAGCAGUGGGGAAUAUUGGACAAUGGGCGCAAGCCUGAUCCAGCCAUACCGCGUGGGUGAAGAAGGCCUUCGGGUUGUAAAGCCCUUUUGUUGGGAAAGAAAAGCAGCAGGUUAAUACCCCGCUGUUCUGACGGUACCAAAAGAAUAAGCACCGGCUAACUUCGUG